rnacentral:lncRNA from 1 species
UAUAGUCUCCACAUUGACUCUGUACCGGUACCCCCUGUAUAUAGCCUCCACAUUGACUCUGUACCGGUACCCCCUGUAUAUUGCCUCCACAUUGACUCUGUACCGGUAUCCCCUGUAUAUAGCCUCCACAUUGACUCUGUACCGGUACCCCCUGUAUAUAGCCUCCACAUUGACUCUGUACCGGGACCCCCUGUAUAUAGCCUCCACAUUGACUCUGUACCGGUACCCCCUGUAUAUAGCCUCCACAUUGACUCUGUACCGGUACCCCCUGUAUAUAGCCUCCACAUUGACUCUGUACCGGUACCCCCUGUAUAUAGCCUCCACAUUGACUCUGUACCGUAAUACCCUGUAUAUAGCCUCACUACUGUUAUUUUACCUCUGCUCUUUAAUUAUUUGUUACUGUUAUUUUUUAUUUUUUAUUAAACAGCAUUGUUAGUUAAGGGCUUGUAAAUAAGCAUUUCACUGUAAGAUCUACACCUGUUUUAUGUGGCACAUGUGACAAAUACAAUUUCAUUUGAGGUGGUACCAAUACCCUGUAUCUCUCUGAGGCUGUAAUACUGUUGAUGACCACUAGGUGGAGCCAAUACCCUGUAUCUCUCUGAGGCUGUAAUACUGUUGAUGACCACUAGGUGGUACCAACACCCUGUAUCUCUCUGAGGCUGUAAUACUGUUGAUGACCACUAGGUGGUGCCAAUACCCUGUAUCUCUCUGAGGCUGUAAUACUGUUGAUGACCACCAGGUGGUGCCAAUACCCUGUAUCUCUGAGGCUGUAAUACUGUUGAUGACCACUAGGUGGUGCCAACACCCUGUAUCUCGCUGAGGCUGUAAUACUGUUGAUGACCACUAGGUGGAGCCAAUAUCCUGUCGCCGAUUUGAGAUCAUAACAUUGAAC